rnacentral:misc_RNA from 1 species
GAUGAAGAACGUAGCGAAAUGCGAUAAGUAAUGCGAAUUGCAGAAUUCAGUGAGUCAUCGAAUCUUUGAACGCACAUUGCGCCCUGUGGUAUUCCGCAGGGCAUGCCUGUUCGAGCGUCAUUUCAACCCUCAAGCCCCGCUUGGUGUUGGGCCCCGCCCGCUGUGGCCGGCCCUAAAGACAGUGGCGGCGCCGCCUGGCCCUCAGCGUAGUACAUCUCUCGCUCCAGGGUCCGGUGGCCGCCUGCCAGAACCCCCCAACUCUGUGGUUGACCUCGGAUUAGGUAGGGAUACCCGCUGAACUUAAGCAUAUCAAUAAGCGGAGGA